UACGUAGGGGGCAAGCGUUACUCGGAUUCACUGGGCGUAAAGCGCGUGUAGGCGGCUGGUCAAGCGUGGUGUGAAAUCUCCGGGCUCAACCCGGAAACUGCACCGCGAACUGGCCUGGCUGGAGUGCAGGAGAGGGAAGGGGAAUUCCCGGUGUAGCGGUGAAAUUCGUAGAUAUUAGGAAGAACACCAGUGGCGAAGGCGGCUCACUGGCCCGGUACUGACGCUGAGGCGCGAAAGCGUGGGGAGCGAACAGG
rnacentral:rRNA from 1 species